UACGGGGGGGCAAGCGUUGUUCGGAAUUACUGGGCGUAAAGGGCUCGUAGGCGGCCAACUAAGUCGGUCGUGAAAUCCCUCGGCUUAACCGGGGAACUGCGUCCGAUACUGGAUGGCUUGAGUUUGGGAGAGGGAUGCGGAAUUCCAGGUGUAGCGGUGAAAUGCGUAGAUAUCUGGAGGAACACCGGUGGCGAAGGCGGCAUCCUGGACCAACACUGACGCUGAGGAGCGAAAGCCAGGGGAGCAAACGGG
rnacentral:rRNA from 1 species